rnacentral:rRNA from 1 species
AUUGAACGCUGGCGGCAGGCCUAACACAUGCAAGUCGAACGGUAACAGGAAGCAGCUUGCUGCUUUGCUGACGAGUGGCGGACGGGUGAGUAAUGUCUGUGAAACUGCCUGAUGGAUGGGGAUAACUACUGGAAACGGUAGCUAAUACCGCAUAACUUCGCAAGACCAAAGAUGAGUACCUUCGGGCCUCUUUCCAUCGGAUUUUCCCAGAUUGGAUUAGCUAGUAGGUGGGGUAACGGCUCACCUAGGCGACGAUCCCUAGCUGGUCUGAGAGGAUGACCAGCCACACUGGAACUGAGACACGGUCCAGACUCCUACGGGAGGCAGCAGUGGGGAAUAUUGCACAAUGGGCGAAAGCCUGAUGCAGCAAUGCCGCGUGUAUGAAGAAGGCCUUCGGGUUGUAAAGUACUUUUAGCGGGGAGGAAGGGAGGAAAGUUAAUACCUUCGCUCAUUGACGUUACCCGAAGAAGAAGCCCCGGCUAACUACGUG